GACGAACGCUGGCGGCGUGCUUAACACAUGCAAGUCGAACGGAAAGGCCCUGCUUUUGUGGGGUGCUCGAGUGGCGAACGGGUGAGUAACACGUGAGUAACCUGCCCUUGACUUUGGGAUAACUUCAGGAAACUGGGGCUAAUACCGGAUAGGAGCUCCUGCUGCAUGGUGGGGGUUGGAAAGUUUCGGCGGUUGGGGAUGGACUCGCGGCUUAUCAGCUUGUUGGUGGGGUAGUGGCUUACCAAGGCUUUGACGGGUAGCCGGCCUGAGAGGGUGACCGGCCACAUUGGGACUGAGAUACGGCCCAGACUCCUACGGGAGGAAGCAGUGGGGAAUAUUGCACAAUGGGCGGAAGCCUGAUGCAGCAACGCCGCGUGCGGGAUGACGGCCUUCGGGUUGUAAACCGCUUUCGCCUGUGACGAAGCGUGAGUGACGGUAAUGGGUAAAGAAGCACCGGCUAACUACGU
rnacentral:rRNA from 1 species